UUUAACAUGAUUUGAAGGAACAUGUUAAGGAGAUAUAUACCCUUCGGUGGAGUCCUACUGGCCCCGCUACAUGCAAUCCCAAUCAGCCAUUAGUUCUAGCAAGUGCCUCUUUUGACUCUACGAUAAAGUUGUGGGAUGUGGAUCU